rfam:Oryza meridionalis cultivar OR44 (W2112) chromosome 1, whole genome shotgun sequence.
AAGGAAUGAAACCAUAAGUUUCCACGCCCAACUUUAAUAAUCUAUUUUAUUUGAAAAAUUUUUAUAAUUAGUAUUUUUGUUUUUAUGAGAUGAGAAAACAUGAAUAGUACUUUACUCGUGACUUAUGUUUUUAAUUCUUUUCAAAAAAUUUUCAAAAAAGAGGACAGUCAAAGUUGGAUGCGGAAAACCAUCGCUGCACUUAAA